ACGCAACGCGAAAAACCUUACCAGGUCUUGACAUCCGACUAACGAAGUAGAGAUACAUUAGGUGCCCUUCGGGGAGAGUCGAGACAGGUGGUGCAUGGUUGUCGUCAGCUCGUGUCGUGAGAUGUUGGGUUAAGUCCCGCAACGAGCGCAACCCUUAUUGUUAGUUGCUACGCAAGAGCACUCUAGCAAGACUGCCGUUGACAAAACGGAGGAAGGUGGGGAUGACGUCAAAUCAUCAUGCCCUUUAUGACCUGGGCUACACACGUACUACAAUGGCGGCGAACAGAGGGGAGCAAAGAGGUGACUCAGAGCAAAUCCCAAAAAGCCGUCUCAGUUCAGAUUGCAGGCUGCAACUCGCCUGCAUGAAGACGGAAUUGCUAGUAAUCGCGAAUCAGCAUGUCGCGGUGAAUACGUUCCCGGGCCUUGUACACACCGCCCGUCAAACCAUGAGAGUUGGGAAUACCCGAAGUCUGUAAUCUAACCGCAAGGAGGAUGCAGCCGAAGGUAGGCUCAAUGAUUGGGGUUAAGUCGUAACAAGGUAGCCGU
rnacentral:rRNA from 1 species